rnacentral:rRNA from 1 species
AUUGAACGCUGGCGGCAUGCCUAACACAUGCAAAUCGAACGGUAACGGGCCUACGGGUGCCGACGAGUGGUGGACGGGGGAGUAAUACUUAGGAAUGUGCCCGAUCGUGGGGGGUAACGGGGAGAAAGCUUUGCUAAUACCGCAUACGAUCUAAGGAUGAAAGCAGGGGACCGCAAGGCCUUGCGCGGACGGAGCGGCCGAUGGCAGAUUAGGUAGUUGGUGGGAUAAAAGCUUACCAAGUCGACGAUCUGUAGCUGGUCUGAGAGGAUGAUCAGCCACACUGGGACUGAGACACGGCCCAGACUCCUACGGGAGGCAGCAGUGGGGAAUUUUGGACAAUGGGCGCAAGCCUGAUCCAGCCAUGCCGCGUGCAGGAUGAAGGCCUUCGGGUUGUAAACUGAUUUUGUUCGGAACGAAAAGCCGUCUUUUAAUACAGGAGGGUCAUGACGGUACCGUAAGAAUAAGCACCGGCUAACUACGUG